GUGGGGAAUAUUGGACAAUGGGCGAAAGCCUGAUCCAGCCAUGCCGCGUGUGUGAAGAAGGUCUUCGGAUUGUAAAGCACUUUAAGUUGGGAGGAAGGGCAGUAAGUUAAUACCUUGCUGUUUUGACGUUACCGACAGAAUAAGCACCGGCUAACUUCGUGCCAGCAGCCGCGGUAAUACGAAGGGUGCAAGCGUUAAUCGGAAUUACUGGGCGUAAAGCGCGCGUAGGUGGUUUUGUAAGUUGGAGGUGAAAUCCCCGGGCUCAACCUGGGAACGGCCUCCAAAACUGCAUGACUAGAGUACGGUAGAGGGUAGUGGAAUUUCCUGUGUAGCGGUGAAAUGCGUAGAUAUAGGAAGGAACACCAGUGGCGAAGGCGACUACCUGGACUGAUACUGACACUGAGGUGCGAAAGCGUGGGGAGCAAACAGGAUAGAUACCCGAGUAGUCC
rnacentral:rRNA from 1 species